rnacentral:tRNA from 1 species
GGAGAGAUGCGAGAGCUGGCUGAAUCGGCACGAUUGGAAAUCGUGUGUGGGUUAACACCCACCGAGGGUUCGAAUCCCUCUCUCUCCGCCA